rnacentral:lncRNA from 1 species
AAACCGAAUCUGGGUUAUCUUAAGACUUGGAGAUGUCCGACCUAUAUCAAGAGACAGAUGGUGAAAAAGUUAAAGGAUAGAUCUAUUAUAGCUCACUUUAUAGGGUACCCAGAAGAAUCCAUAGGAUAGUACUUCUACUUUCCAUAAGAUCACAAUAUGAUUGUGAGUUGAAAUGUCGUGUUCCUGAAAAAAUAUUUUAUCCAGGAUGGCGGUAGUGGGAGGUUAGUGGAACUCGAAGAGAAGGUCUCUGAAGUCUAGAGCUAUAGAUCCUCAAGAACCCGUAGUUCAUGAGCCAGUAGUCGAUAUUCCUGUGCCGCCCCAUAGAUCUAGUAGGGUCUCCCGACCUUCUGAAAGGUACAUUGGUAUGCUUACAGAG